rnacentral:rRNA from 1 species
GCGGAGGAAAAGAAACUAACAAGGAUUCCCCUAGUAACGGCGAGCGAAGCGGGAAGAGCUCAAAUUUGUAAUCUGGCGCUUUCAGCGUCCGAGUUGUAAUCUCUAGAAAUGUUUUCCGCGUUGGACCGCACACAAGUCUGUUGGAAUACAGCGGCACAGUGGUGAGACCCCCGUUCAUGGUGCGGAUGCCCAAUGCUUUGUGAUACAUUUUCGAAGAGUCGAGUUGUUUGGGAAUGCAG